rnacentral:rRNA from 1 species
GACGAACGCUGGCGGCGUGCCUAAUACAUGCAAGUAGAACGCUGAAGGAGGAGCUUGCUCUUCUGGAUGAGUUGCGAACGGGUGAGUAACGCGUAGGUAACCUGCCUGGUAGUGGGGGAUAACUAUUGGAAACGAUAGCUAAUACCGCAUAAUAACAGUUGUUGCAUGACAACUGUUUGAAAGGUGCAAUUGCAUCACUACCAGAUGGACCUGCGUUGUAUUAGCUAGUUGGUGGGGUAACGGCUCACCAAGGCAACGAUACAUAGCCGACCUGAGAGGGUGAUCGGCCACACUGGGACUGAGACACGGCCCAGACUCCUACGGGAGGCAGCAGUAGGGAAUCUUCGGCAAUGGACGGAAGUCUGACCGAGCAACGCCGCGUGAGUGAAGAAGGUUUUCGGAUCGUAAAGCUCUGUUGUAAGAGAAGAACGAGUGUGAGAGUGGAAAGUUCACACUGUGACGG